CUUUCUACACAGAGACCUCUACUGCACAGAGAUCCAGCCAUGGCACCUACAAUCACUUCAGAAAGGAUCCACUCUAAGGAGCACCUGAGUCUGACCAACGAGCUAAGAAAGCCAGUAGUGGAAAAGUUAUUAAGAAAUAGACUUCAAGAUGGAGAAAUCAGGCAUCCUGGAGCUGACAGUUUUCUUCCUGAUAUGACAACAACAGUACCAGCCAGUGAACUCCCCCUCAUGCUAAGCUCCUGUCAAUCAGGGUUACUCCAGGAUUGAAGAGAUUGUGCACUUCCUGUCCAAGGAUGAGGUGAAGACACAUUCCAGAGAAGACUGCUGAGCCACUUGCAGAUACUUCAGCCAUCCUCUGAUAAGAACAGAAGGGAGAGUGACCUGUCUCAGCUGAGUCCACCACUCCAGCACAGCAUAAGUAAAGAGCAGAGUCCAGUCAACAGCGCCCUCUGGAGGCCCUGGUAGAGUUUCACAGACUGGAGCUCCACUCCGAGACAGAAACAUAAUGGACCAUGUUGGUCUUACAUUAAUGUUGUGGAAAGUAAUGACAAUGUAUAGAGACACAAUCUUCUGCUUAGGCAGGACAUUUAAAAGUUAUCUUUUGAUUGUG